rnacentral:rRNA from 1 species
GACGUAGGGCGCGAGCGUUAAUCGGAAUUACUGGGCGUAAAGCGUGCGCAGGCGGUUCGUUAAGUCAGAUGUGAAAGCCCCGGGCUCAACCUGGGAACUGCAUUUGAAACUGGCGGGCUUGAGUGUGGCAGAGGGGGGUGGAAUUCCGCGUGUAGCAGUGAAAUGCGUAGAGAUGCGGAGGAACACCGAUGGCGAAGGCAGCCCCCUGGGCCAACACUGACGCUCAGGCACGAAAGCGUGGGGAGCAAACAGG